rnacentral:rRNA from 1 species
GAUGAACGCUGGCGGCGUGCCUAAUACAUGCAAGUCGAGCGAACAGAUAAGGAGCUUGCUCCUUUGAAGUUAGCGGCGGACGGGUGAGUAACACGUGGGUAACCUACCUAUAAGACUGGGAUAACUUCGGGAAACCGGAGCUAAUACCGGAUAACAUUUAGAACCGCAUGGUUCUAAAGUGAAAGAUGGUUUUGCUAUCACUUAUAGAUGGACCCGCGCCGUAUUAGCUAGUUGGUAAGGUAACGGCUUACCAAGGCGACGAUACGUAGCCGACCUGAGAGGGUGAUCGGCCACACUGGAACUGGGCCACGGUCCAGACUCCGACGGGAGGCAGCAGUAGGGAAUCUUCCGCAAUGGGCGAAAGCCUGACGGAGCAACGCCGCGUGAGUGAUGAAGGGUUUCGGCUCGUAAAACUCUGUUAUUAGGGAAGAACAAAUGUGUAAGUAACUGUGCACAUCUUGACGGUACCUAAUCAGAAAGCCACGGCUAACUACGUGCCAGCAGCCGCCGUAA